rnacentral:rRNA from 1 species
GUGGCGGGGGCUAACUAUAAGUGGACCUGGAAAGCAAAGAUUCCACUUAAGAUACAAAUUUUCCUUUGGCAACUGUUUCAGGAUGCUAUCCUAACUAGAGGUGUAAUGACUAGACGAAAGUGGUUGGGGAAUCCUACUUGCUCCUUCUGUGAUAAGAGAUAAACAUCCCAACAUCUCUUCUUUACCUGUCCUGUGGCCAGAGUUCUCUGGAGAACUGUAGGAUGUGUCCCGGGCACGGAGCUGUGCCCCAAUAAAAUUUGGCAAUAUUACUCUUGGGCCUACACGUUUUUACCUGAUGGGGAGAAAUUUUAUACCUUUGGCUUAGCAGGGCUCUUCUAG